rnacentral:misc_RNA from 1 species
GAUGAAGAACGUAGCGAAAUGCGAUAAGUAAUGUGAAUUGCAGAAUUCAGUGAAUCAUCGAAUCUUUGAACGCACCUUGCGCCUUUUGGUAUUCCGAAAGGCACACCUGUUUGAGCGUCAUGAAUACCUCAAUCUCCAUCUUUUCUUCGGAUUGAUGGGUGACUUGGAUGUUGAGCCCUGCUGGUAUGCUAUAUCAGCUGGCUUUAAACUUAUUAGCCGGCUCUGUACUGGAUCGGUUUGACUCGACGUGAUAAUAUUAUCGUUGAGGAUGCAUGUCUCAUGCAGCCGGAAAGUAUCAAGCAGCUUCUAGCUUGCCUUUAGUGCACUUUUACAUUUUAGACCUCAGAUCAGGUGGGACUACCCGCUGAACUUAAGCAUAUCAAUAAGCGGAGGA